GACGAACGCUGGCGGCGUGCUUAACACAUGCAAGUCGAACGGAAAGGCCCUGCUUUUGUGGGGUGCUCGAGUGGCGAACGGGUGAGUAACACGUGAGUAACCUGCCCUUGACUUUGGGAUAACUUCAGGAAACUGGGGCUAAUACCGGAUAGGAGCUCCUGCUGCAUGGUGGGGGUUGGAAAGUUUCGGCGGUUGGGGAUGGACUCGCGGCUUAUCAGCUUGUUGGUGGGGUAGUGGCUUACCAAGGCUUUGGCGGGUAGCCGGCCUGAGGGGGUGACCGGCCACAUUGGGACUGAGAUACGGCCCAGACUCCUACGGGAGGCAGCAGUGGGGAAUAUUGCACAAUGGGCGGAAGCCUGAUGCAGCAACGCCGCGUGCGGGAUGACGGCCUUCGGGUUGUAAACCGCUUUCGCCUGUGACGAAGCGUGAGUGACGGUAAUGGGUAAAGAAGCACCGGCUAACUACGUGCCAGCAGCCGCGGUGAUACGUAGGGUGCGAGCGUUGUCCGGAUUUAUUGGGCGUAAAGGGCUCGUAGGUGGUUGAUCGCGUCGGAAGUGUAAUCUUGGGGCUUAACCCUGAGCGUGCUUUCGAUACGGGUUGACUUGAGGAAGGUAGGGGAGAAUGGAAUUCCUGGUGGAGCGGUGGAAUGCGCAGAUAUCAGGAGGAACACCAGUGGCGAAGGCGGUUCUCUGGGCCUUUCCUGACGCUGAGGAGCGAAAGCGUGGGGAGCGAACAGGCUUAGAUACCCUGGUAGUCCACGCUGUAAACGGUGGGUACUAGGUGUGGGGUCCAUUCCACGGGUUCCGUGCCGUAGCUAACGCUUUAAGUACCCCGCCUGGGGAGUACGGCCGCAAGGCUAAAACUCAAAGGAAUUGACGGGGCCCCGCACAAGCGGCGGAGCAUGCGGAUUAAUUCGAUGCAACGCGUAGAACCUUACCUGGGUUUGACAUGGAUCGGGAGCGCUCAGAGAUGGGUGUGCCUCUUUUGGGGUCGGUUCACAGGUGGUGCAUGGCUGUCGUCAGCUCGUGUCGUGAGAUGUUGGGUUAAGUCCCGCAACGAGCGCAACCCUUGUUCACUGUUGCCAGCACGUUAUGGUGGGGACUCAGUGGAGACCGCCGGGGUCAACUCGGAGGAAGGUGGGGAUGACGUCAAGUCAUCAUGCCCCUUAUGUCCAGGGCUUCACGCAUGCUACAAUGGCUGGUACAGAGAGUGGCGAGCCUGUGAGGGUGAGCGAAUCUCGGAAAGCCGGUCUCAGUUCGGAUUGGGGUCUGCAACUCGACCUCAUGAAGUCGGAGUCGCUAGUAAUCGCAGAUCAGCAACGCUGCGGUGAAUACGUUCCCGGG
rnacentral:rRNA from 1 species